GAUGAACGCUGGCGGCGUGCCUAAUACAUGCAAGUCGAGCGAACGGACGAGAAGCUUGCUUCUCUGAUGUUAGCGGCGGACGGGUGAGUAACACGUGGAUAACCUACCUAUAAGACUGGGAUAACUUCGGGAAACCGGAGCUAAUACCGGAUAAUAUUUUGAACCGCAUGGUUCAAAAGUGAAAGACGGUCUUGCUGUCACUUAUAGAUGGAUCCGCGCUGCAUUAGCUAGUUGGUAAGGUAACGGCUUACCAAGGCAACGAUGCAUAGCCGACCUGAGAGGGUGAUCGGCCACACUGGAACUGAGACACGGUCCAGACUCCUACGGGAGGCAGCAGUAGGGAAUCUUCCGCAAUGGGCGAAAGCCUGACGGAGCAACGACGCGUGAGUGAUGAAGGUCUUCGGAUCGUAAAACUCUGUUAUUAGGGAAGAACAUAUGUGUAAGUAACUGUGCACAUCUUGACGGUACCCAAUCAGAAAGCCACGGCUAACUACGUG
rnacentral:rRNA from 1 species